ensembl:snRNA U6 U6 spliceosomal RNA
CUGCUUGCUUCAGCAACACAUAUACUAAAAUCGGAAUGAUACAGAGAAGAUUAGCAUGGCCCCUGCGCAAGGAUGAAAAUGGGUUAAAGCCCUAAUUAAAUCAUGUCU